AUGCAGGUGGCGGAACGUUCGGUGGCCAGCCGGACUGAUGGAGUUGCUGAACUGAAGAGGCAACUCGAUGUUGAGGAUGCGGACAUCGCGCUGGUCAAUAAACGACUUAACGAGUCGCAAGAUGGCGCCGCUGCUGUGGAAAACCUUCGAGCAGAGCUUGCUCGAGCCAAGGAGCAAGCCAAGAUAAGUGAUGCUGCUGCCUCGAAGGCAGCAGAAGAGCUAAAAGCCGAAAAGGCUGCUCACUGCCGAAGCAGGGAAGAGUUGGCCGGAAUGGCCUUGAAAUUAAAAGAUGCUACCGACCGUUGUGAGGUUCUUGAAGGAGAACGCCGAGUGGAGCAAGAGGGCCUAAAGAAGGCCGUCGCCAAAGUCAAGGAUGCCCGGAGUGAGAUGCGGGCUAUGAAGGAGGAACUGCGUCAGGCUGGAGACAUUGCGGCUGGAAAGCCCUUUCUUCUGCGUAGGAAGUUCACGGAUCCGAAGUAUGCUCAGCUGGGUCAGUUGUGUGGUGCGGAGGAUCCUUAUCUGGAUUUGGCGGCGAGUGCGGCGGACGCAGUCGUGCACUUCUGA
rnacentral:rRNA from 1 species